GACGAACGCUGGCGGCGUGCUUAACACAUGCAAGUCGAACGGAAAGGCCCUGCUUUUGUGGGGUGCUCGAGUGGCGAACGGGUGAGUAACACGUGAGUAACCUGCCCUUGACUUUGGGAUAACUUCAGGAAACUGGGGCUAAUACCGGAUAGGAGCUCCUGCUGCACGGUGGGGGUUGGAAAGUUUCGGCGGUUGGGGAUGGGCUCGCGGCUUAUCAGCUUGUUGGUGGGGUAGUGGCUUACCAAGGCUUUGACGGGUAGCCGGCCUGAGAGGGUGACCGGUCACAUUGGGACUGAGAUACGGCCCAGACUCCUACGGGAGGCAGCAGUGGGGAAUAUUGCACAAUGGGCGGAAGCCUGAUGCAGCAACGCCGCGUGCGGGAUGACGGCCUUCGGGUUGUAAACCGCUUUCGCCUGUGACGAAGCGUGAGUGACGGUAAUGGGUAAAGAAGCACCGGCUAACUACGUG
rnacentral:rRNA from 1 species